CCCACCUUCCGGCUGCCGGGAACGAACGCGGAAACCCAGGCGCGCGGGAAGGGGAUCCAGCCCCUGGGGGGACGCACAGGGAGACUGAGGCGGGAGGCGGGGCCCGGCCACGAUCCCUACACCCAGAAACCUAGCUCCGGGGGGGACGGACACCUAGGCGAGGAGUCGAAAACUCAACCACAACACCUGCGUCCCGAACCUGGGCUGCGGACUGAGCCAGGAAUCCAGCCCAGGGAGGCGAGGAGACACGGACAGGGAUGGACUUCGAGGGGACCUCCUGGAUAUCAUCUUGAAGUAUACUUCCAGCUGUGGGAUAAUGGGGUCAAGGUUGUGCUGACGGGGCUGGGUGGCUCAUACUUGUCAUCCCAGCACUUUGGGAGGCUGAGGCAGAAGGACUGCUUGAGCUCAGGAGUUCAAGACAAGCCUGGGCAACCUGGUGAGAUCCCGUCUGUACAAAAAAAUUUAAAAAUAAAUUAGCUGGGCCGGGCGCGGUGGCUCACGCCUGUAAUCCCAGCACUUUGGGAGGCCAAAGUGGGUGGAUCACCUGCGCUCAGGAGAUCGAGACCAGCCUGGCCAACAUGGUGAAACCCCAUCUCUACUAAAAAUACAAAAAAUUAGCUGGGCAUGGUGGCAGGUGCCUGUAAUCCCAGCUACUUGGGAGGCUGAGGCAGGAGAAUUGCUUGAACCCAGGAGGCAGAGGUUGCAGUGAGCUGAGAUUGUGGCAUUGCACUCCAGCCGGGGCAAAAAGAGCGAAAUUCUGUCUCAAAUAAUAAUAAUAAUAAUAAUAAUAGCUGGACAUAGUGAUGCAUGACUGUCAUCAUCAUGCAUCAUCUCGUCAGCAACUCCUAAGUGGUCCCAUCUACUUAGGAGGCUGAGGUGGGAGGAUUGCUUCAACCCGGGAGGUGGAGUCUGCAGUGAGCUGUGAUCACACCACUGCACUCCAACCUGGGUGACAGAGGGAGACCCUGUCUCAAGAAUAAUAAUAAUAGUCUGGGCUCGGUGACUCACAUCUGUAAUCCCAGCACUUUGGGAGGCCGAGGCGGAUGAAUUAUUUGAGGUCAAGAGAGAGAGACCAUCCUGGCCAACAUGGUGAGACGGGGUCUCUACUAAAAGUACAAAAAUUAGCUGGGCAUGGUGGUGCAC
rnacentral:lncRNA from 1 species